rnacentral:lncRNA from 1 species
UCUCACGUGUCUGGUGGUGGUGGACUCAGGGGAACCCUAGGCGGAGUGAGGACACAUGGGCUUUCUUGGGCCUCGACGCUUGGAGCCUUUGGACCGUUGGGUAAACAGCAGCACAGAUGAUGACAGAAUACCGAUACCACUGUCUCCAACUCUCAAUACAGCAUACAACAAGAUCCAACAGCUGGUUUUUGGUUCAUCCCGUGGAUAUUGUAUGGACGUCUUGGAUCUACUUCCAUGUGCUCUGACCACGUCAAAGUACAUCUAGUAGGUAACGUAUCAUGGUCCUUGUGGCACCUUCACAACCCAACUUAACCAUAUCUAUUUUUAAGUUCAAAAUCAUAUAAUAUUAUGACCCGACUAAUAAGUUCAAUUUUUAAAUUUGCUAGGCUAAAUUAGAGGUCCUUUACUAC